rnacentral:rRNA from 1 species
GCCUGUUUUACAAAAACAUAGCCUAUAACUUAACUUUAGGUACAACCCUGCCCUCUGAAAUUUUAACAGCCGCGGUAUCCUAACCGUGCUAAGGUAGCAUAAUCAUUUGCCUAUUAAUUAUAGGCUAGCAUGAACGGGAUCACUCACUUAAAUUUAUUUUCACUACAAUUAAAAUUAAACUUUAAGUUAAAAUACUAAAUUUUUAAGAAAGACAAAAAGACCCUGAAAACUAUUAGAAGAUAAUUAGUUGGGGCAACUAUAGACCAUAAACAGCGUCUAUUAAAAUUCGAAUUUUAAAAUUCAAAGCACACAGUUACUUCAGGGAUAACAGACUAAUUGUAUUAUUUAGACCUAAUAAAUAAUAAAGAUUGGCACCUCGAUGUUGGCUUAUAAUUCCUUCAUAUAGUAACAUAUAUUGAUGGCAGCUUGUUCAUCUGAUAAAUAUUACACUGAACGCGAGAUUCAGAACGGGGGCGUAAGCCA